AUUGAACGCUGGCGGCAUGCCUAACACAUGCAAGUCGAACGGCAGCACGGGGGUUGGCACUUGGUGGCGAGGGGCGAAGGGGUGUGUAGUACAGGAGAACAUGUCCUGGAGGGGGGGAAAGCCCGGCGAAAGCCGGAUAUAUAGCGCACACGAUGUACGGAUGAGAGGGGGGGAUCUGGAGGCCUCGCUCUAUAGGGUUGGCAGAUAGCUGAUUAGCUAGUUGGUGGGGUAAAGGCCUACCAAGGCGACGAUCAGUAGCUGGUCUGAGAGGAUGACCAGCCACACUGGGACUGAGACACGGCCCAGACUCCUACGGGAGGCAGCAGUGGGGAAUUUUGGACAAUGGGCGAAAGCCUGAUCCAGCAAUGCCGCGUGUGUGAAGAAGGCCUUCGGAUUGUAAAGCACUUUUGUUCGGAAGGAAGUCCUUGGCGCUAAUACCGUCGGGUGAUGACGGUACCGGCAGAAUAAGCACCGGCUAACUACGUG
rnacentral:rRNA from 1 species